AUGUGUGUCCCUAAGAAAGAUGGAGGUAUGUGCUUUCGUGACCUGCACUAUAUUAAUUAGGCUAUGUUGGCGAAGCAAUCCCAAAGACUCGUAUAACCUCCUGAUUCUCUAUGGGCUCAAGUGCUUCAAGCAAAAUACUACCCAAACUACAACUUGCUUAAGGCGGGAUUGAAAAAGGGAUCGUCUUUUACUUGGCAAAGAAUUGUUGCUGGUUUUAACAUCUUUUGA
rnacentral:rRNA from 1 species